CAAGGAAUUUUCGGCAAUGGGCGCAAGCCUGACCGAGCAACGCCGCGUGGAGGACGACGGCCUUCGGGUUGUAAACUCCUUUUACGGGGGACGACAUCGACUGUACCCCGCGAAUCAGGCUCGGCUAACUCUGUGCCAGCAGCCGCGGUAAGACAGAGGAGCCAAGCGUUGUCCGGAUUGACUGGGCGUAAAGCGCACGCAGGCGGCUGGGCACGUGGGGUGUGAAACCUGGCGGCUUAACUGCCAGACG
rnacentral:rRNA from 1 species